rnacentral:rRNA from 1 species
AAUCAACGCUGGCGGCAUGCCUAACACAUGCAAGUCGAGUGAGAAAGUGUAGCAAUACAUGAGUACAGCGGCGCACGGGUGAGUAACACGUGGAUAACCUGCCUCAAAGUGGGGAAUAACACCGGGAAACCGGUGCUAAUACCGCAUAUUCUGACUGAGUCUGCGGAUUUGGUCAGGAAAGGAGCAAUUCGCUAUGAGAGGGGUCCGCGGCUGAUUAGCUAGUUGGUGAGGUAAUGGCUCACCAAGGCCACGAUCAGUAGCCGGUCUGAGAGGACGGUCGGCCAAACUGGAACUGAGACGCGGUCCAGACUCCUACGGGAGGAAGCAGUGGGGAAUUUUUCGCAAUGGGGGAAACCCUGACGAAGCAAUGCCGCGUGGAUGAUGAAGUCUCUUGGGACGUAAAAUCCUUUCGACAGGGACGAAACCGCAAGGUUGACGGUACCUGUAGAAGAAGCCCCGGCUAACUCCGUGCCAGCCGCCGCGGUAA